GCGCGGGAGGAGGUGCAGGUGGUGGCCGCGCCGGCCCUACCGGAGCACGGUCUUCUUCCGCCGGGCCGGGCAUCGGAGGCUCCCCGCCGAGCAGGGCCGUCCCACCGCUACCCCGGGGAGUCCCCGUCUGUAAACUUCCUGCAACUUCAGUUACCUGUUGCUGGACACUAAACCGCACACCCUGGGCCAUGGAGCUGUUCAAAUUGCACCCAUAUCCGUCUCUUUUUCCUGUGAUCCCCGAUGCUGCACAAAAGACCUCAUCACCUCAGCUAACAGAGGGCUUUUACUCAUCGCCUUCGUACCUCUCGUGUGCCUUUGCUGCCCUGGCAUCCUUAGCUCUUCAGCCAGCCAGCCUUAUCCUAAGUGUUUAACUAGCAGGUAUCUCCAGGGCACAAACUAUUACUACUUUGGCCAUGACAAUAUUCACCUCGGAAUUUUACUUAUUUCAGCAAUUGAUAGGACAAAGAGGUGUUCAUCACCGAAUGCACUGGUACAACUAUUACAUUUAAUGGCAUGGAUUUUUCUUCUUUAUUUUUGUUUCUUACUUUGAAGUAUUAUACUAGUACAGCUUUGUACAAUAUGCCUGUUCUGCCAACAGUGGAACUUGUGUUGACAUAGCUUAUCACCUUCCUAAAACAAGCUAAUGUUACCUUGUGCAUAUUACGUUUUAGACUGAUAUAUGUAUAUCCCCCACAGGAAAGCUCUAUAAAUUAACUUUAUUACUUCUUGCUGCAGGCAAGACACAGGUCUGCAUAAAAAGAUAUGCUGUUCUCAGCAGUAGUCUUGACAUGUGAAAUCAAAUGCAACGUUAUUCAGAAAAGAAAACAUAAAACGGAAUGUAAACACCUGCAUAUAAUUGAGUGUUUCCCAUAGUAAAAGCCUGUUCAAAUCACUUUGCUGAGACCUGCCUGAACAGAUAGCAGCAACAUCCAGUAAUAAUGUAGGAAGAAAUCUACAUGGAUGAAGACUACUCUGGCUGAUGUUACCAAAAGUUAUCCAUAGCCCUGCUUCCACCUCUUCUUUAAUCUGGUGAGAAUAAUUCACUAGGCCAUCAUGUGGCCAUUUUAAAGUUUUAAAAUGUCCUUAAGUUAAUUAUUUUAUUACUUUUAAGUAAUUGUAAUUGCUUUCAUAAGGUUACUUAACCACAUUUUGACAUCUUAUUUACUUUUGUACAUGUUUUGUAAAUGUAAACUCAGCAGGACUGUUUCUAAGAAAUCAUUUUCAUGUUUAUAAAGAAAAGCUUUUGGAAUACAUUUUCUUGGAAAUAACCAAUAUGUACUAGCUAGAGUAAAAAUGCAUAUUGAUAUGAUUUAUAUAUUGUGGUUCAAACUCCAUUGACAUUUGUUGCAUACGCACUGUCAUGCAUUGAUUCACACCAUGUACUGGGAAAUUGUUCUACCAGGCAAUGAUCCACAGUCACUGUCUUGUGGAACAAAUGUAGGAACCUACUAGGAUUCUGCAGUCUGGUGUGAAGCCAAGCUAUUUCCAGGAUUGCUCCUGAGUUAAGGCACCACCAUCUCAAAUGGCUGCUGCCAGCCUGUUUGGAGGAAACAAUGGAGGAUCCAGAGAAUGGACUAGAUAAAGACAUGAUGGUGGUGUACUGAUACUGGCAGGAAAGGAGGACGUGGAGCUCUAAUAAUUCCAUGCCUGGUUGGGAUAGACAGUAAUUAUGCUGGGACUUCAGGAUGGUAAAGGUUGCAAGGAAUCUGUAUAGAUGCAGUGUGAAUAUUCAGCAACAAAGAAGCAAUACAGCAGCACCUCUACAUGUGGACUUUCUGCUCAUUGGGAUUGAUAAUGGUCUACCAGUGUAGAAAUAUUUAUCACACAUGUAUUUCACUGUGGUGGUACUGAGAAAAUACUUGCAGUUUUAUAAAGUUCAUGACCCCAAACUCUGCGGGCAGCAGGGGCUGAAUGUAUGUGCCUAUAUUUCAGAUUGAAAGUUGGGUUUCCUAAAUAGAAAAAAAAUAUUUUUUCUCAAGGUUCUGCAAAGCCUCAUGGAUCGCUACAGAAAGCUCACAGAUAUUAUUAUAGAAUGAUAUACAAUGGUUAAUAACAGGUUUUUUAGAAAUUCAGCCUUAUUUACUGAAACAGAAAUAAGAAUUUCACUGCAGACUGCAAUGGAUGUCAUUGAUGUGUCCGCUCCUUUUCUCACUCUUGGAGGUCCAAAUAUCUUUCUGCUUCUCUGACUAAUGAUGCCUUUUACUUGGCAAAUGCACUGGAGAAAGGAACUGCAUGACUGUUCUAACUCCAGAAUAAUAAUGAAGGGCUUUGUUGGGAAAUUAAGGGCAGGUGGAGGAGCCUUACAAACACUCCGAUGGAUAUUUACAGCAAGAGGCAGAUGUUCACUAUGUCUUGUUGGAAAUCCAUGAGAAGAGAAGAUGAUCUCCAUGCUGCUCAGGGAAACAGGAUGAGUUAAUUGUCCUGCUCUUUCUUCAAUGAGAGAAUGGAGUGGUGAAAAAAUGAAAGUAUUAUAAAGAUAAUGAGAGACAUCUUUGUUAUAUUUUUGAAUUAUUAGGGAAAAAAUGAGAAUCUCAAUGGAAUGAUUCAGUCAAUUUUUUUCAUUACAACCUUAUUUAUUCAGCACAGAUCUGGCACAGCAUACCUUAUCUGCCAAGUGCACUUAUCUUUGUAAAUGAAAGCAGAAAUCAGUCCUGUUUUCUGGAAAGGGUGUAGUGGGGACCUCCAGGAAGCUCCCACUAUUUUUUUACCUCAGAGUGCACUUUAAGUAGUGGCAUAACAUCUUAAUAUUCUUCAGAGGACUGGGGUUUUUUUCACAAUUUACAGCAGAUCUUCCUGUAUGUUUUAUUUCCCUUGUCCCAAACUCCUCUGAAUCUAGAUACUCAUGUCCAAGUUAACAGAAGUCAUCAUAAACAUCCUUCUAUCUUUCCUUCUUAUUUUGCUUCUGUGCUGAAAUCCGUUCACAGAAUCCUUGAUGUUCUCCUUCCUAUCCUCCUUUUCCUUUUUGAAAUAAUUUUUAUUCAUUAAAGCAACCUGUUAGGCUAAAGUUCCUCACCAUAGUGGGGCCUUUGUUGUCAGAGAUAAAUUGCAAUUAUUUGUUAUUUCUGCACUGAAUUUAAUGACAAUAGGUUUUGGGGGUUUUUUAAAAUGAAUUUUGGAAUGUCAUUCCCAUCUGUUUUCCAGUUUGGGCUUCCCUAGGAAGUGGUUGUUCUCAGGUUAUCCCAUAGUGUGUAAAAAAUAAGAAGCUUCUCUCUCGCUACAUCUCUUUUAUAUAGAAAUCCUGUGCUGGUCUUGGAAUGGGAAGGAGGAAAGAAAAUGCUCAGCUGUGAGAUAGUAUCCUGCUACUGAAUGGUAACAGGACUUAAGUUUGCAGUUUUAUGUGCACCUCUGUAGCAAUGUUACCUUGAAGCAUGCUUCCAAGAGCCGAGAAAAAGUCUUACAGCAAAGGCAGUGGAUAAAUUAGAAGGGUGUGCAGCAUUGCAUAGAAGGGUACUAAAGUAUAUUCAAUUGCAGAAGUGAGAGAGACCACACAGAUAAGAAACCAAGAAGGCUGCACUGUUUUGCUCCAUGCAUAAAAAUGGAGCACAGUCUUUGCCCUAAGAUCUCCUGUAACAUAUGCAGGUCAGCAUCAUGUGCACUAGAAGGGAACAGACUGUAGAGCAAUUGGCCCAAAUUCAAGAAUUUUAUAUUGCUAAAGGUUUGAUUACAAGUGUUUUAUAAUCUUAGCAUUUUGAAAUGUUUAAUUUUGGUAAUUCAUCUCAUAAAAUGUGAAAGGAAGCUAAAGAAUGCUUAACAAAUUAUAAGCCAAAAUACAUUUGCUAUUGCUUUUUUUUUUCCCUGCAUUUGCUGUUGCAAAAAUUAUGCAUGCCCUGCAAUCUGUAUUCCCUUUAACUCAUGGGAUACUGCCACAUUGAGUAGCAGGAAGAGCAGCAGCAAGCCCAGAUGCAUAGCAAGCAGGGUGAGAACACAAUAUUGGGUUCUUGUUUGUGAAGCACCACGAUGACCACAGCAGAGAAGGUGGCACUAAACAGAUGGAAAGAGGCUCAUGGUUCAUACAUAUAAUUUUCUCCUGCCAAUGAUGGCAUUCAUAUACCACCUGGCUUAGAGUUGCAGAGCUAUGACAAAAUAUAGGACAUGAUAAGAAUCCUUUCCUCAGCAGCAUUUUCAUGCUAACCACCUUUCUGGAUUUCAAACAGCUUUUUCGUAACCUCAGUCUUUGCAUUUCAGUUCAGGGGUUUGGAAAAAAUACUAGCUCUACAACUCCAUGUUUGAAGUGACAUCAUUUGACAGCUGUGGUAAGUCACCUGGGCCUGUUACAAUAAAGGAGUUCAGCAGUUGACUUCCUUGGAUAAAUUUUUCACAGCUUAUCCUUUUUUGGCUCAUUAGAAGUCAUGGAGGUCUUGUUCACAUCCUUUCAGUUCUUGUAGAAAAGCCAGUGUUACUUGCUUUAUGGCAGCACUGGUCCAUUUCUCAGGAAUGUCCCUCUCUUGCAUUCAGUUUUACCAACAGUCACAAAUGGUAAUGUUUGAAGCAGUGCCAUUAAGUUGGGGCUGGAUAUGCUGAUACACUUAACCCAUGAGACAGUACUGGGGAGGGAAAGAGGUAAUGCUCAAAAAAAGUCUGGAGGAUCACAGACAUACUGGAAUUGCAGUGGAAGCCAUCAGCAUUCAGCAGGAGAGAUUGACAUACUUGAUCCAGAUGAUCUUGUAACAGAAGAGGGCACUCAGGGGCCAGACAGCAAAUAAACCAGAUCACAUUAUACAAUGAGCAAAAAUUAUUCAAAAAUGGGCAGAAUCCUCUCAUAAACUGAAGGGCUGAGGAUCCUGGAUUUCAUUCAUGCUGAAAAAGAAAGCCCAGCCACUUUAAAACAAUCAUUACAAAUAUGCUCAAGCCAACUCAUCUGAAAUAUUUGAAGUAACAUGCCUGUGUAGUCAGGACUUCAUUAUGUUACUUAUUGUUUUCAGGGAGUCAUCACCUGCUCUUUAAAGCAAAACAUACAUUAUGAGACAGAAUGAUUGCUCAUUAUUGUCAUAUUCCUUAACUGCUUUCUAUAUUAGUGCAUUCAAAGGAAUGUAUUUUUCCUCUUCUGCCCUUCUCUGCCUUCAUCCAACAGCAAUCAGCAUUUUCCACAGAGCUCAAAAUUGCUCACAUUCUUAUAAAAAUGCCUCAGCCGUUUGGGAUUUGCUGAGAUGAAAUAAAAAGUGCAUGACUUGAGAAAAUGCAAUACUUUAUCCUGCAUAUUGAUUCCAUGGCUGCUGUAUAAACAGGAACUGUCCAUUACAAGCACUUCCACUGACUUUUUCUUGUGUUGGAACUCAUGUUCUGUAUAAGCCAGGUGUGAUAGGAGCUCACCUGUCAAGAAAAUCAUGUUGCAUUAAAGGGUUGGCAUGAAAUUUAAUGCUUGUAAAUAUAUUGCACCAGCCAAGCUGCAACCUUGCAAUUUUCCAGACAGAUAUAUUUCCUUUUGCCAAAAAGAAUGUGAGCUACUGCAGCUAAUUUUAUGCUAUAUAAAUAAUGCUGAUAGAGAGACAAGCCUGAGAUUAGAUAGGUUAGAUAGGCAAAGUAAUAGAUUAAGUAGGAAAAUCAAAGUGUUUAUUAAUCAGAAAUAUGGACAUGUUCCUUAAGGAGCUGCAGGAAACCAGCUGUAAUGAUGACAAAUGAGAGAUCCCAGAAUAAUUAGUUCAUAUAGACAGCACUGUAACUGAGACAUAGAUCUGCUUGUUGUACAGAGAAAUUUGGCUCUUACAUUCUGAUAGAGAACAUUUCCGCUUCUUAGCCUGUGCUUGACACGCCAACGGAGGGAAGGUUGUGCUGUGUGCCUUGUGGUGCUCUGCCCACUUUGCCUUCUGCUCCAUCUUUCCCCCUGCACCAUGGUGGGAUCAGGCCAAGAGCCACUACAGGUCAGGAACAUAUCCAGGGGGAGCAGAGAUCAAGCUGGUAUCCUGACCAUAUUUUAUAGAUUAAGCAAGAUACCUGAAGCAUGGUAGAUACUUUGCUAUUUUAAUAUUUCUUUUUUUCAAUCUUUCCAUAUUAAUUUUAAAAUUGUACUAUGUUUUCCUUGGCAACAUUUAAAAAUCACUGGUACAUCAGUGUACGAAUAUGAGAAUUUCCUGCUAACAGACCAGACAUGGAACUAAAGCUCUGGGUAGACCCAGUUUGUUUUAUUCCUAAUAAUCCAGCAUUUGUGAGGUUUUAAGGAAUGAUAAAUCGCCUCUUCUUAAAGAGGUUAUGUUAAACUGCAGCUAGUCAGCCUCUGGUAGGUGCCAUAUUUUGCUAAAGCAAAUGAAUCAGGUGCUGAUUUUUAUUUUAACCUACUUUCAUUUUGUUUUCUCCUGUUUACUUUCUUCAUGUUGCUAUCAUACUUGGGAACCCCAAAUUAAUUUUUGCAUGGAAAGCUUCAGAACAGAUGUGCCCCAAACAAUUCCACUGAUAGUGUAUUGUGUCAUGCUUGCCUGAAGUGUUAUAACUUAUUUUAUGCAAACUUGUAUGCUGGGCCUUGAAAUGUACUGUGCAGUUGUCAGAUUGUCAUGGGAAGAAGGUAGGAUAUGCUCAGUGUUUUGUGUGGUUUUAGUCCAUGCCUAGCAGUAUUUCUCCUGACUAGUACACAAACCACUGUAAUGUCUUAAAGCCACAAAAUGUGUAACGUUUAGGUGUUUAUAUUUGCAUGGGAUCCCAUCAAAGUAGCCUGAUUUCCAAAACCACUGAGCAUUUGCAACUUCUCCCGAGGUCAAUGAAAACUCAUCUCUGAAAGACAGUUCCGUUCUGGAAGUUUCCUCACAGGAUUUCUAUGUUGAAUAUUAUAUCUACACUAUGGAAAACACUGUGUGCAAUAUUAUGAGCAUUAAGAUUAAGUGGGUAGCCUGCUGCUUCUCAUUUGUGUAAAAAGACUUGGCUAAAAUCAGGCACAAGAGAGAAGUGAGCUGCUGGUUGCUUCUUCACUCCUCUUUGCAGAUAGGAGCCUAGACAUUGGACUUCCUUCCUUCUGUGUAAUAGAUACCUUUCCUCAUUCUUCUGAGCAGUAUAUACUUUGACUCAUCUCAGGCCUACUUCAAAGGGACAGAAAUCAGAGGGAACACUCUCAGACCUUUCCUACUAGAGUGAAGUCAUACAUUCUUACCUCAGGACAGGUAAACAGUGAGUUAUCUCAGCUGAGAUCUUAGUAAAGACAAGGGAGUUAAUUUUUCAUCUUCAAGAUGUCAUUAAAAUUCAAGUUUAUUUGAAUGUAAUAAUUUAAGUGAAAAUGCCAUGAUGGAUUUUAUUUUAAAAUAGUUAAAAAGAUAAAGUAUCUCUUUUUCAAGGUAUGUCUACUUUCAUGUGAAAAAAAAAAGCUCAGGUCUAAAAACAUGCAAACUGCUGAAUGGUUCUGUUGUACUCCUAUAAAAAGCAAGACCAGAUAGCCUAAUCGAGUUUUAUUAGGCAUUGCUUUCUAAUUGUUGACAUGACUGAAUCAUCAAAGCUGUAAAAAGUGCUUGUCUAGUAUUUUGAGCAGUGUACUUCCUUAAGAAAACUUAGCUCUGGUACAGCAUUCACCUUUAAUUGGUACCUUUCCUCUCAGAUAACUGUGGAAUUAAGAUGAUAAAUAGAGUCAAAUUUCAUGGCUCAUCUUCAUUUUAUAUAGAGUUUUAAAGUUUAGAGCAUGGUAUGUCCUCUUUACAGGAGGUCUGCAUGUCUCAGUCUGCAAGAGGGCUGACAACUGAGCAGCCUGACAGCACAAUUACCUGCAAGGUGUGUCCUACUUGGAAAAGGCUGAGCUUCAGCAGUUUGGUCAUGUCACAGCAUGUGACAAAAUGUUACCAAAGAGGUGAUUACUCCUAUCCUACCACAGCAGUCCGUGUGUCAAUUGGUUCUAGCAAUGGCAGCCAUACUUAACGAAGAACUUCUUGCUAAGCUAUCUAUGGCUGCCUCCAGCCUUGAUUUGGAUGAGAAAAUGCAGGAUGUGGGCAGAGAAGCAUCGUGAGAAUAAAACACACUGCCCUGGGUGAUACUAGAGCUGAGUGUGCACUUACUGUACUGCACUGUGUUCUUCCCCUUGAUCUUAAAUACCAGCAAUUAAUAACGAUCCCCUUAACGUUGUCCAAGUUUGUGUUUGCACAGUAUUGAAAGAGAAGGUAAGUUGCUUACAUUCCUAGAAAUGAAGCAGGCUGUUAACUCUAGAGGGAUAC